UACGGAGGGAGCUAGCGUUGUUCGGAAUUACUGGGCGUAAAGCGCACGUAGGCGGCUAUGUAAGUUAGAGGUGAAAGCCCGGGGCUCAACUCCGGAAUUGCCUUUAAGACUGCAUCGCUAGAACGUCGGAGAGGUAAGUGGAAUUCCGAGUGUAGAGGUGAAAUUCGUAGAUAUUCGGAAGAACACCAGUGGCGAAGGCGACUUACUGGACGACCGUUGACGCUGAGGUGCGAAAGCGUGGGGAGCAAACAGG
rnacentral:rRNA from 1 species